rnacentral:rRNA from 1 species
UACGUCGGGUGCAAGCGUUGUCCGGAUUUAUUGGGCGUAAAGAGCUCGUAGGCGGUCUGUCGCGUCGGAUGUGAAAACCCAGGGCUCAACCCUGGGCCUGCAUUCGAUACGGGCAGACUAGAGUGUGGCAGGGGAGACUGGAAUUCCUGGUGUAGCGGUGAAAUGCGCAGAUAUCAGGAGGAACACCGGUGGCGAAGGCGGGUCUCUGGGCCAAUACUGACGCUGAGGAGCGAAAGCAUGGGGAGCGAACAGG